rnacentral:rRNA from 1 species
AUUGAACGCUGGCGGCAUGCCUUACACAUGCAAGUCGAACGGUAACGCGGGGCAACCUGGCGACGAGUGGCGAACGGGUGAGUAAUGUAUCGGAACGUGCCCAGUUGUGGGGGAUAACUGCUCGAAAGAGCAGCUAAUACCGCAUACGACCUGAGGGUGAAAGCGGGGGAUCGCAAGACCUCGCGCAAUUGGAGCGGCCGAUAGCAGAUUAGGUAGUUGGUGGGGUAAAGGCUCACCAACCCAACGAUCUGUAGCAGGUCUGAGAGGACGACCAGCCCACCUGGGACAGAGAAACGGCCCAGACUCCGACGGGAGGCAGCAGUGGGGAAUUUUGGACAAUGGACGCAAGUCUGAUCCAGCCAUGCCGCGGGCGGGAAGAAGGCCUUCGGGUUGUAAACCGCUUUUGUCAGGGAAGAAACGCUCUGGGUUAAUACCUCGGGGUAAUGACGGUACCUGAAGAAUAAGCACCGGCUAACUACGUGCCAGCAGCCGCAGUAAGAC